AGAGUUUGAUCCUGGCUCAGACGAACGCUGGCGGCGCGUCUUAACCAUGCAAGUCGAGCGGCAGGCAGCAAUGCCGAGAGCGGCGGACUGGUGAGUAACACGUGGAUAACGUACCCCGAUGCCCGGGACAGCCUGUAGAAAUAGAGGGUGAUACCGGAUAGAUCACUGUAUACGGAAGGUAGACAGCGGGAAAGGAGCUUCGGCUCCGCGCCGGGAACGGUCUGCGGCCCAUCAGCUGGACGGCGGGGUAACGGCCCGCCGUGGCGAGGACGGGUAUCCGGCCUGAGAGGGCGGACGGACACAUUGGGACUGAGAUACGGCCCAGACUCCUACGGGAGGCAGCAGGUAAGAAUAUUCCGCAAUGGGGGAACCCUGACGGAGCGACGCCGCGUGAACGAAGAAGGCCGGAAGGUUGUAAAGUUCUUUUCUGUCCGAGGAAUAAGUGUAGGAGGAAAUGCCUGCAUGGUGACGGUAGGGCAGGAAUAAGCACCGGCUAAUUACGUG
rnacentral:rRNA from 1 species